GCGUGUUGCGGAACCAUCCUCCUCCCAAGGGUUCCGCGACUGAGACCGGCUUUUCCUCCUCCCUGCCGGUCUUGCAAUAAUGGCAUCCGUCGCUCCUCCCGCGACGGGUGCCAUUU
rnacentral:sRNA from 1 species